rnacentral:lncRNA from 1 species
UCCAUUGGUCUUUUUGUGUUUUUCUACCCACCUUUACCUCCGUGACGGUGAGAUAUCGUGAUGUUCUUACUGGGCUAGUGUAGCUCACUCCUUAUUUAACCAUUUCAGAUCAGGAAGACGUGGUUCCCGAGCCCGUUCCGCAGGAGGACGACGAAGGGGAUGCCUAGAGACUCUGUAGUCAUACUCAUAGUUUUAUUUUCGAGUUUCUCUCUUAGUUAGUUUAAUCUUUUAUAUUUUAAGUACGUUUUUGGUUUUUCGUGUAAGGGAUGUUAACUGAAAUUUUGAUCUCGCUUCCGCAUUUGAUAUAUUUAAAUACUCAUUUCAUUUUAAUAUUUCCGGGGUCGUUACAGUUGGUAUCAGAGCCGCGUUUCCUCGGACCCAUCCCUUACACUAUAGUCCUUUAAAGAAAUACUCACCGAUUGGUCGUUACUCAACCAUUCCUUGUAAAUGCAGGUACACAGAAAUGAGGAGAGG